GGCCCACGUACUGCAAAAAAAAAAAAAGAGUUACUGGACCAGAAUUUUCCUCUCCAGGAGAUUGGUUUCAUUCAAGGACCUGACUGCAGACUUCACCCAGGAGGAGUGGCGGCACCUGGACCGUGCUCAGAGGCUCCUAUAGAGGGAUGUGAUGCUGGAGAACAACUGCAUCUCAGUGGGGUAUCAACGUUAGCAAACCAGAUGUGAUCUUCAGACUGGAGCAAGGAGAAGAACCAUGGACAGUAGAGGAAUUCUCAAGUCAGAACUACUCAGGAAGGGGGCGCUGAGACUUAUGGGAAACGGAGUCCCGAAUUUGAAGGAUUACCGGGAGGAGAGCGCAGGGAACUGGCCCCUCACGGCUCCUUCUGCGCAUGUGCAGUUCUCCUCAUUGUUCGCCCGCUCCCUGGUCUCCAGCUUCGCGCGGCAGGUAAUUCCGGAGCCUUCGGGUCUACGCAUUGCUCAGUGAGGGGUCCUGCACGAAGGAUGUGCGCUACAGGUGAGAACCUAGUUUGGAGGGGGGUUUUGCUGAGCUUGGGGUAGGUUUUAUGCCCACACCUGGUGGAAGCAAAAACUUGCGCGAAUCCCACGCAGGCUGAGACCCUAUAUAGCACUUGUUCCUGAGUCUGGUCUGCAUUUGCCGCUAAAGAAAGCCAAGUGACAGAGCAGCUUGGCUACGGACCUACAGGUUCCACGAAGAGGCUAAGGGAGAAGCGCGGGUUACUAGGUCAGAAUGAAGUGCGCUGAGAAAAAGCAUCCUAAUGGUAACGAGCUGUUUCCAGAAGCUCCUCGAAUUUGCAUGUGCCCUGGCCAACCAUUCAUUAUCGAGUCAAAUCCAGGACACUGGCGGGGGUGAGAAUAAAUUCUGAUAACAUUUAUUAUGUGCAGGCUGAUUUAAGAGCCUGAAUUUGAACUAAGACAAGUUCAAAUUCUAGCCUGGCCACUGAGUCUCCAUGGACAAAAUGAUGAGCCUCUAAGUCUCAGUUUCCCCAUCUGCCAAAGGAAGUUAUUCUAAAAACCUGUCUCAAAGUCGUUUUGAGGAUUGAAUUAAGAUAACCUGUAAACACUCAGCAGCGGUCCUGGCAUUCACUAAGCACCCGGGAAAUGUUAAUUGCCUUUAUCACUGUUGUUUUCCUUAAGAUCGUUAUUGGUUCUCAAAGACCCCCUGGAAAGUCAGUAUUACCCAUCCCAUUUUAACUGACAAGAAAACCAAGACUCUGGAGGGGAAGUCUCCAGGCCAGUAAUUGAAGGAGCUGGGAUUACAAACCUCAAACAGUUUUAUUUCCAAAUCCCAUGCUGGGUUUUGUCUAGCAGCACAUCCUUCACAGGACUAAGCAGAGUGGCAUGUCCCUAAGAGCCACAGGGA